rnacentral:rRNA from 1 species
CAGUCGCCGCGGUAAUACGUAGGUGGCAAGCGUUGUCCGGAAUUAUUGGGCGUAAAGGGCUCGCAGGCGGUUUCUUAAGUCUGAUGUGAAAGCCCCCGGCUCAACCGGGGAGGGUCAUUGGAAACUGGGAAACUCGAGUGCAGAAGAGGAGAGUGGAAUUCCACGUGUAGCGGUGAAAUGCGUAGAGAUGUGGAGGGACACCAGUGGCGAAGGCGACUCUCUGGUCUGUAACUGACGCUGAGGAGCGAAAGCGUGGGGAGCGAACGGGAUUAGAUACCCCUGUAGUCCCUGUCUCUUAUAC